UACGAAGGGAGCUAGCGUUACUCGGAAUUAUUGGGCGUAAAGCGUGCGUAGGCGGUUUUAUAAGUCAGAAGUGAAAGCCUGGGGCUCAACCCCAGAAUUGCUUUUGAAACUGUGAAACUUGAGUAUCAGAGAGGAUAGUGGAAUUCCUAGUGUAGAAGUGAAAUUCGUAGAUAUUAGGAGGAACAUCGGUGGCGAAGGCGGCUAUCUGGCUGAAUACUGACGCUGUUGCACGAAAGCGUGGGGAGCAAACAGG
rnacentral:rRNA from 1 species